ensembl:rRNA 5S_rRNA 5S ribosomal RNA
GUCUACGGCCAUACCACCCUGAAUGUGCCCGAUCUCAUCUGAUCUCAGAACUAAGCGGGGUUGGGCCUGGUUAGUACUUGGAUGGGAGACCGUUUAAUAAUGUAUCAUCUCCUUCAAACA